GGGGUACUAACUGUUUAUUUAAAACACAGAACUCUGCUAAAUGGUAACACGAUGUAUAGAAUCAGACACCUAUCCGGUGUUGGAAGGUCAAAGGAGAAGUAUUAUAAGUUUUGCAUGAAAAUCAUGAAAAACAACGACAAUAACUCUAAUUGUCCUAAGGUAAGUGAAAUUUCUUAUCGUAUAAGUAAUGACCUGCACGAAUGAUGUAACGACUGUCCU
rnacentral:ncRNA from 1 species